rnacentral:rRNA from 1 species
GACGAACGCUGGCGGCGUGCUUAACACAUGCAAGUCGAACGGAAAGGCCCUGCUUUUGUGGGGUGCUCGAGUGGCGAACGGGUGAGUAACACGUGAGUAACCUGCCCUUGACUUUGGGAUAACUUCAGGAAACAGGGGCUAAUACCGGAUAGGAGCUCCUGCUGCAUGGUGGGGGUUGGAAAGUUUCGGCGGUUGGGGAUGGACUCGAGGCUUAUCAGCUGGUUGGUGGGGUAGUGGCUUACCAAGGCUUUGACGGGUAGCCGGCCUGAGAGGGUGACCGGCCACAUUGGGACUGAGAUACGGCCCAGACUCCUACGGGAGGCAGCAGUGGGAAAUAUUGCACAAUGGGCGGGAGCCUGAUGCAGCAACGCCGCGUGCGGGAUGACGGGCUUCGGGUUGUAAACCGCUUUCGCCUGUGACGAAGCGUGAGUGACGGUAAUGGGUAAAGAAGCACCGGCUAACUACGUG